AGAAAUUUAGGUUAAAACCUAAACCAAAAGCCUUCAAAGCUUUAAACAAGAGUGAAAGUCUCUUAAUUUCUG
rnacentral:tRNA from 1 species